CAAAUAGAUCUUCACAUGUUAGGUAUAAAUGCUCGCAUAUAACACAAAGAGGUCCUCACAUUGUUGAAAAUAAAAGUUUUGAUAUGGCACAAAGAGAUCUAAACAUUGUUAGAUGCUAAGAUUUAACACAAAGAGAUCUUCGUAUGUUGAAAAUGAGACUUUGAUCUAACAUAAAGAGAUUGUCGCUCUGUCGAAAAGAAAC
rnacentral:lncRNA from 1 species